GUCUCCUUAGAUUAUAUUGUCUGGUAGUGAGACAUACCGUGAUCUCCAUCAUAGUAUCAUCGAAACUCCUUUCGAUGGGCUAGAAUAAUUCCAACUUAACCCAACAAGGUUCAUUGAUCCGAAAAUAAUCCUAGUGAAUUCUCACAAUCCAUCAGUAACGUCUAGUAGCAUGUAGUGGCAAUCUAGCAGAACAGAAAAAUCUGAACCCCUAGGUGUAGUUAUCAUGUGAUCAAGUUCUUCUAUCGAGAGUCCCGACAGGAUAUAGGUUAUGAAAACUCAUCAAAUCCUAAGCAUCCGUCAUAUGUCAGACUUAAUUAGCUUCAAUCCAAUCGUGAAUCCUAUGGAAACUUCUUUCUAUUAUCAUGCUGCUGUAGCCACAGACUUAAAGAAUCAACCUCUUAGAUCGUAUAGGAUUACUCCUUAACUAUUAAGACCGACAGAUCCUCUAUAAGUACACUCCUACUCUUACAGC
rnacentral:lncRNA from 1 species